rnacentral:tRNA from 1 species
AUUUAUUUAGUAUAAGAGUACAAUUAACUUCCAAUUAAAGAGACUGUAAAUAACAGAAUAAAUA